rnacentral:rRNA from 1 species
AUGACUGAUGGUGAGAAACUUGCUGCCUUGGAGAAGGCGUUGCUCGACGAGAGUGUGGAUCCAGUCGAUCUACCCUUCUCUCUUCUCAUGUCCAUCACAGAGAAUUUCUCCGACGCUCGAGAGAUCGGCAGGGGUGGGUUCGGAGCAGUCUACAAGGGAGUGCUUCCAAGUGGUGGCAUCAUUGCCAUGAAGCAGCUCUUCGAGAGGUACGAGAUCCUGGACAAGAAUUUCGAGAGCGAGGUCACCUGUCUCGCGGGGGUCAAGCACAAGAAUACCGUGCGAUUUCUCGGGUACUGCUCGGAGACGCAGCAAGUACUGAUUCCAUACAACGGGAAGCGUGUCUUGGCAGAUGUGCGGCAUAGGCUGCUCUGCUUCGAGUACAUGCCCAAAGGGUGCCUUGCUGACUAUCUCUCGGAUGCAUCUUGUCGACUUCAGUGGACCACACGUUACCAAAUAAUCAAGGGGAUCUGUGAGGGUGUACAUUAUCUUCACCAACAACGUAUUAUUCACAUGGACCUCAAACCUCAGAAUGUACUACUGGAUGAUAGCAUGGUGCCCAGAAUUGCGGAUUUCGGUCUAUCACGACGCUUAAGUGGAAGCCAGAGUUGGGCUAUUACUGAUCACAAGCUUGGGACAAUGGGAUAUAUGGCACCAGAAUUCUUAAAUAACGGAGAAAUCACCUACAAGACAGACAUAUAUAGUUUGGGUGUUCUAAUCAUGGAGAUCCUUAUGGGACAUAAGGAGAGCUCCAGUGUUAAGGAGGUAAUUAUAUUGUAUGUGAGAUUUCAACAAACAAAAAAACUAUAG